AUUGAACGCUGGCGGCAGGCUUAACACAUGCAAGUCGAGCGGGGUGAUGGUGCUUGCACUAUCACUUAGCGGCGGACGGGUGAGUAAUGCUUAGGAAUCUGCCUAUUAGUGGGGACAACAUCUCGAAAGGGAUGCUAAUACCGCAUACGUCCUACGGGAGAAAGCAGGGGAUCACUUGUGACCUUGCGCUAAUAGAUGAGCCUAAGUCGGAUUAGCUAGUUGGUGGGGUAAAGGCCUACCAAGGCGACGAUCGGUAGCGGGUCUGAGAGGAUGAUCCGCCACACUGGGACUGAGACACGGCCCAAACUCCUACGGGAUGCAGCAGUGGGGAAUAUUGGACAAUGGGGGGAACCCUGAUCCAGCCAUGCCGCGUGUGUGAAGAAGGCCUUAUGGUUGUAAAGCACUUUAAGCGAGGAGGAGGCUCUUUUGGUUAAUACCCAAGAUGAGUGGACGUUACUCGCAGAAUAAGCACCGGCUAACUCUGUGCCAGCCGCCGCCGUAA
rnacentral:rRNA from 1 species